rnacentral:tRNA from 1 species
GCGAGGUAGCUCAGGUGGUUAGAGCGCAGGAUUCAUAACCCUGAGGUCGGGAGUUCAAGUCUCCCUCUCGC